rnacentral:misc_RNA from 1 species
GAUGAAGAACGUAGCGAAAUGCGAUAAGUAAUGUGAAUUGCAGAAUUCAGUGAAUCAUCGAAUCUUUGAACGCACAUUGCGCCCCUUGGUAUUCCAUGGGGCAUGCCUGUUCGAGCGUCAUUUGUACCUUCAAGCCUUGCUUGGUGUUGGGUGUUUGUCUCGCCUCUGCGCGCAGACUCGCCUCAAAACAAUUGGCAGCCGGCGUAUUGAUUUCGGAGCGCAGUACAUCUCGCGCUUUGCACUCAGAACGACGACGUCCAAAAGUACAUUUUUACACUCUUGACCUCGGAUCAGGUAGGGAUACCCGCUGAACUUAAGCAUAUCAAUAAGCGGAGGA